UACGUAGGGUGCAAGCGUUGUCCGGAUUUAUUGGGCGUAAAGCGCGUGUAGGUGGCCACACAGGUCCGCUGUGAAAACUCGAGGCUCAACCUCGAGCUGUCGGUGGAAACCGUGUGGCUAGAGUCCGGAAGAGGAGACUGGAAUUCCCGGUGUAGCGGUGGAAUGCGCAGAUAUCGGGAGGAACACCCGUGGCGAAGGCGGGUCUCUGGAACGGUACUGACGCUGAGACGCGAAAGCGUGGGGAGCGAACAGG
rnacentral:rRNA from 1 species